rnacentral:rRNA from 1 species
GGAAUCGCUAGUAAUCGCGGAUCAGCAUGCCGCGGUGAAUACGUUCCCGGGCCUUGUACACACCGCCCGUCACACCACGAAAGUUGGCUGGACCCGAAGCCGGUAGCCCAACCCUCGGGAGGGAGCCGUCAACGGUCUGGUCGAUGAUUGGGGUGAAGUCGUAACAAGGUAGCCGUAGGGGAACCUGCGGCUGGAUCACCUCCUUUAAGG